GAGAAGUAAGUGCUCCUAACCAUUGAGCCAUCUCUCCCGCCUCAGAGACUGUUCAUUGAGAAGGCUACAAAGGGUUGGAAGAAGGUCCAAAACCCCUGGGCUGUGAACCUGUGAUAUAUCAGAAAGGAUCUGUGACCAACCCAGUUCCUGAUCCUAGACUCCUCAGAAGAAAACCCAACUGUUUGUUGUGAAUAAGCUCCCAGUCUUCGGUAUAUUUAUGGUGGCCCCAAAUGACCAACAUAACAACUUGUUCAUCUUACAAGUACACAGACUCAACACCUCCACAGCACUUCUGCUCCAGUGUGUGUAAGUUGCUGUGAGUGAACAAUGAACAGAGUUAUAGCGACUGAAGAGCUUUACUCAAACCCUCACUGGAUCAUUAAACAGUCUUUCCAAGUCCUGCUAUAGAUACACAGGCACGAGGACUCACAGAGAAGUGGGACGAGGAGUUCUGGGUACAGAGUUACUACCAUAUGCUAUUGGGGGCUGACAGUGAAGAGAUCACUUCAUAUCAGAAGAGACUUUGGAUAUUGGAUAUUUGAAUGGUUUCAGGAUUGCUACAAUUUGGGGCAUACUUAAAGAGACACACAUAAUACUUGCAGGGCCAUGGAUAUAUCAUCAUUUAAAGUGAUAUGUUUGUCUGUUAUGUUGUCAGGGGGUGGUUAUUGUCAUUGAUUAGACCAAGAGAUCUCUAGGGAAUUGGUGAAGCACACCUUUGGGUGUGUCUGUAAGAGCAUUUCUACAUAAAAUUAAUUCACUGAGGAGUAAAGACCCACCCUGAAUGUGGGUAGCAGCAUACCACAAGCUGAUGGCCGAGAGCAUCCUAAAAUGGAAAAAACCAGCUGAGUGCCAGCACCUGAACAUGCAGGUGGCACAGAGCCACACUAUGCCGUGCCUUCUUUGUCACAGUGGACAGCAUCCCCUCAGACCAUGAGCCCAAAUAAACUACU